rnacentral:rRNA from 1 species
GUCUACGGCCAUACCACCCUGAACACGCCCGAUCUCAGCUGAUCUCCGGAGCUAAGCAGGGUUGGGCCUGGUUAGUACUUGGAUGGGAGAAAAUAAAAUCUGGUUUGUGCGCC